rnacentral:lncRNA from 1 species
AUUCAGCCUCAUGAAGAUCUGUCUGCUCCAGGCUGGUCUACAUCAGGUAUAAAGUCAGGAAUAGAACUUCUGAAUCAAAGACUCAUCAAAGUAUUGACGUCGAGAGCUGGAAGUGACCUCAGAGAUCAUCUUAUCUCAUCUCAAUUUACAGGUAAGAGUCGGGCUCUUAGAAAUUGCCCAAAGUUGUACAAAUAAGAGAAUUGAACUCAGGUUCUAUGAGUCCUCAGGAUCACUUGAAUUACUUUAAUUGUUACUAC